CAAUUUCUCUAUACAGCGGUCUA
rnacentral:siRNA from 1 species